UGGAAGAAAAAUACAGGUAGGUUGAAAUUUUUUAUUGCAUUAAUUUGAAUUCAAAUUUAAAAUACAUACCUAAAAAACAAGGUUAACUGGAAUUAUCGAGAAGGAAACGACAAUGGAUCAUUUUGUGACAUAUUUUUUGAAAUUUACCGAAAAAGGAGAAACUUGGCUUCUUUGCGAUGAUUUAAAGAACAGUAUAAAACCAGUCAAAAAUGAUUCGGUAAUAAACCCAAUGGCAGCCUUUUAUAUACGGGAAUAAGGUAUAAUGAAGAAACUGUAAAUUCACAACUUUUUUAUGACAGUUCAUGUUUAUUUCAGACAUGGAAAUGCAAACCAGACUAUAAUAACAUAAAACCAAAACCGAAUUAGAUGCCAGAACUAGAUGGUACCACACUAGAAGCAGCAGCUUUCAAAUAAAAAAAGAAUCACCAGAAUCGUUUCACCAUGUCGAAAGUUCUGAGCUCACUCUUUCUUUUUUUCUGAACAAUUUCGAAGAUAGCAGUGGGGGACCUUUGAUUGAUUGUCCUUCGGAGACUCAAAUUCUGUGCGAACAACUUCACUGUCCAAUCGCUAUUAAGAGAGGAAAUCUCUUCACAUGAAAUCGAUGACGAGAAAAAGAGCCCAACUGAUUCAAUCAGAAUUUCAAAAUUCUAAUGAUUGUGUUUAUUUUGAAAAGUUAUGAAGAUAAAAUCAUUAUCAAAAUAAUCUUUGAGAUAAAUGAAUAUUCAUGAAACAAGGUGGAAGCAGUUGCACGAAUUAUUUAAACCAAACCGAGACGCUUUGAAACGCGAACUUAAAUUUGAAGCAGAUAAAUUACGGAUGCUUGUUACGAGCACGAGAGGGAAAUGCUUCGUCAGGGUAAUUAUUUUGAGUUAAGUUUGAACUCGUUUUAUAUUAUUUUAAAAUCUUUCCAAGCAGGAUAACGAGCUCAAGAAAAUAGAUUGUUAAUACCGAACCAAGGCGAAGAAUUUAUGAAUCCAGAAGAGGAAACGCACAUGCCACCAAAACAACUUUAGAUAUACAUUUUUAGUUUCCGAAAAUAUUCAGCUGAUUGAUUGAGUGAAAAAGAAAAACAAGUUCUGUAAGAAGUGUUCCUAGAAAAAAAAAAUCAUGUGUGCAAUUCACACGUGGUAGAAGUGAAACCUUAAAAAUUAUUUUUCUUGUAUAAAAUGUACCUUUUUUUAUUCUAUAUCUUUUA